CUAAACCAAAUCACACGGCGUCUUCACCGGCGAUUGGAUCUGGAGCUAUCGUCCUGGUUCAGAUGUCAGAUGAUGAAGACGAUGGGUGAUCGUGAUGGUGACACCCAGAGCUACAAGGCCAUGAGGAGUUCAAUAUGAUAUCACAAUGGUAUGAAGAAUAUCUGCUAUUGCCGGCGUGUUGUCUUUGUAGCAGCUCAUUGAGAAGUUAGGCUUUAAUAAUGUGACUGAUAAGCCAGCUGCACUUAAAAUGAUGAGAGAUGUAUGUGAAUCUGUUCUUGAAUCCUCUGAAAGGAAGCAAAGCUAGCACAUAGUGGCGGUGAUAUCUUGAAGAGUUACAGAGUGGCCGUGCGGAGGCAACUUGGGCAGGUUAACAAGGGAUUGCAUUGGAAUUAUUUCCGAUUAAGUAUUAGCUCUGGAUUACCACUAUUGUUGGUGUUAGUCCCG